CAUUGUUCUAGUUAUUGGAGGAAAAAAUAUGAUUCAAGGAUUGCAGUGGACUUCCACUGACACAAAGUCAAGAGUUUCCUUUGCUGCAAUGAUUUUGCUAGGAGCUGUGAGGAUUCUGACCUCUCUGGCACGCCGUCCAGCAGCACUCUCCACAGGGUCCCCGAACCUGCGCAGCGCAGUUAGAGCCUUGAACUUCCUGCUUUAGAAGGUGCCGCAAUCCCAAUUUUUAUCGUGGGGUUUUAGAGGAUGCUUUUUCACCUCCUUAUUGCAGAAACUGUCUACAUAUUUUCUGUAUAUAUACUUUGAUAUUGUAAUUCCUCUGUUGUUUUAUGAUAGGUUCUGUAGAAUUCCAAACAAUUUUUUAGUAUGAUUGCUACCCUCAUCUUCCCUCUAAUAAUCUAUGCUUAAAUCUAUC
rnacentral:lncRNA from 13 species